UACGGAGGGGGCAAGCGUUGUUCGGAAUUAUUGGGCGUAAAGAGCUCGUAGGCGGUCUGUCGCGUCGGUCGUGAAAACUUGGGGCUUAACCCUGAGCUUGCGGUCGAUACGGGCAUGACUGGAGUUCGGUAGGGGAGACUGGAAUUCCUGGUGUAGCGGUGAAAUGCGCAGAUAUCAGGAGGAACACCGGUGGCGAAGGCGGGUCUCUGGGCCGAUACUGACGCUGAGGAGCGAAAGCGUGGGGAGCGAACAGG
rnacentral:rRNA from 1 species